UUGGCUGGAGCAGGGCGGCAGGGCGCGGCAGCCAAUCAGCGCACGGCUUCUAUAGGGCUUGAGUUAUUAGACGCUGAUCUCAAAACAUCCUUCAUCAGACACCAAGGAGAGGCCAACAAGAUGAGGGGAGCCAUUUUUCUGCAAUGGAAUUAAAUGGCCAAGUGGGUUUUUCCUUUGUUGCAAAUGGGGAAUGCUUUUCCUUUGACUCCACCAUCCAGUUCAGGACGCCUCAAUGUGGUGUUUAGCAUUUCUCAACAAGCUAAAGGACUCACAGUUGGAAGAAUGAAGAAGACUUUUUAAAAAGAUCUGGAUUUUUCCUUGUGACUUGGAAUCCAUCUUUGUCUUGUAUAACUAGGUCAUAGCACACCAUUAAUGUUCAGCAAUUAACAAUUUUGAAUUCCAAAAAACCUAAAGCAGUACACAGUCCUCAGCGAAGCCGCCUUUUGCCAACCUAACCCUGGAAAGUUUGCAGAAGUGGAAGGAGCAGAAAGUGCAUGAGAGUGUAACUUACAAAAAGGUUGAUCUUCCAGACUCCAUGGCACCGGGCUGAGCGGGCCCUUGACUGCAGAAGGGGCAGUGUGCCCAGUGACGCCCAGAGCAGACAAUCCCUCUUCCUUUGGACAGCAGGAGCAGGCCUAGUUUGACUCUGACAGUCCUCCCACCAAGAAAGUCCUGGUGAGGAGGAGAAUCACUGGGGUCGUCAGAACAUCUUGCAGAUUUGUACAAGUCUUUAUUCUGUUAUCAGUAGAGAUCGGAGCCUCAUUUCCCAGAAUGAGAAAGGGGAGUCUCGAGAUCUGAAGAUUUUAAGCAAAGGCAGGGCCCCUCGCACGGUCCUGGGGGCUUUGCUUCUGACCUGUCUCUGGCCUGGUCCCUCCUCUCCCGCCACCUUCAGCCUGCUGCUGCGGAAAGCUGGCUCAGCCCUCCAGGAUCUAACCCCUCUCUCUGGCUCCCUCCUCAUCCCCGAGCCACUGCUGAACCUAAUAGGGGCUCUCUAGUCUCAGUGCAUUUGCCCAGGCAAGGUACCCAUCCUACUUCCGCUUGCCUGCCCUCCCCAACAUUGUGAAGCUUAGUUCAUGUGCCACCCAUCUCCCAGCCUGCCCUGAGCCCCAAAGGGGUUCUGAUCUCUAAUUGUCCAAUUCCAUUAGACCAUGAGAGAUGUGAGCUCCUCGAGGGCAGGAAUACAAUUGCUGCUCAAUAAACAAGUGUUGCAAAAAAGGAA